rnacentral:lncRNA from 1 species
GUCCAACAGCCCAGCCGUAGCACCGGCCUCUGGCGUGCAGUGAUGGGCAGGCCCAGCGACCCGGCGCAGAGCUUACCUUUUCCCGCGCUGGCCGUUUGGGUGGUGAGGUCCCAGUCGAUCUGGAAGUGAACACAGCUCCUGUACAGCUGACAAACCUUCUACUCAAAUUUAGCAGUUCAAAAGGUUCAGCUAUAGCCACAAACAACUCAUGGAAGUGGAAGACCACUGGAAUGAGGACAUGUGCUUUAGGUCAUCUGGAACAAUUUGUUCUUAACACAAGAGGCAAAGACAGAUGCAAGCCAGCAAAAUAUGGGAUAAUAAUGCAGCCUCCCUGGUGAUGGCAAGACAAGCUGUGCAGCACCAGGACUCUGAGUCUCUCAAAGCCAAGAAGAAGCUGCGGUGUAGGGUUUUUUUGUGCUCCCUCCCACCUACAGCCUCAUCCCAGCAGUGCCAUGUUAGCACAUGAUCUGAUUUGGUGCUCUGAUUGACUGGAGAAAGAGGAGAUCUGUCCUGAUAUGAAAGGCUCGGCUCUUCCUCCUGCCCAGCUGUGGUGGAGUAAAAUCUGUCCUGUAAUAAUUAAAAAAAAAAUAAAAAAAAAUAAAAAGCUUAAACUACA